rnacentral:rRNA from 1 species
CCUUUGUACACACCGCCCGUCGCUACUACCGAUUGAAUGGCUUAGUGAGCCUUUGGGAUCGGCGUUUGGGAGCCGGCAACGGCACCUGAUUGCUGAAAACUUAUGCAAACUUGGUCAUUUAGAGG